rnacentral:rRNA from 1 species
GGGAAUUUUCCGCAAUGGGCGAAAGCCUGACGGAGCAACGCCGCGUGAGGGAUGAAGGCCUCUGGGCUGUAAACCUCUUUUCUCAAGGAAGAAGAACUGACGGUACUUGAGGAAUAAGCCACGGCUAAUUCCGUGCCAGCAGCCGCGGUAAUACGGGAGUGGCAAGCGUUAUCCGGAAUUAUUGGGCGUAAAGCGUCCGCAGGCGGUCUUGAAAGUCUGUUGUUAAAGCGUGGAGCUUAACUCCAUUUCAGCAAUGGAAACUUCAAGACUAGAGUGUGGUAGGGGCAGAGGGAAUUCCCGGUGUAGCGGUGAAAUGCGUAGAUAUCGGGAAGAACACCAGUGGCGAAGGCGCUCUGCUGGGCCAUAACUGACGCUCAUGGACGAAAGCCAGGGGAGCGAAAGGGAUUAGAUACCCCUGUAGUCC